GAUGAACGCUGGCGGCGUGCCUAAUACAUGCAAGUCGAGCGAACGGACGAGAAGCUUGCUUCUCUGAUGUUAUCGGCGGACGGGUGAGUAACACGUGGAUAACCUACCUAUAAGACUGGGAUAACUUCGGGAAACCGUAGCUAAUACCGGAUGAUAUUUUGAACCGCAUGGUUCAAAAGUGAAAGACGGUCUUGCUGUCACUUAUAGAUUGAUCCGCGCUGCAUUAGCUAGUUGGUAAGGUAACGGCUUACCAAGGCAACGAUGCAUAGCCGACCUGAGAGGGUGAUCGGCCACACUGGAACUGAGACACGGUCCAGACUCCUACGGGAGGCAGCAGUAGGGAAUCUUCCGCAAUGGGCGAAAGCCUGACGGAGCAACGCCGCGUGAGUGAUGAAGGUCUUCGGAUCGUAAAACUCUGUUAUUAGGGAAGAACAUAUGUGUAAGUAACUGUGCACAUCUUGACGGUACCUAAUCAGAAAGCCACGGCUAACUACGUG
rnacentral:rRNA from 1 species